CCUUAUCUUUCCUGGUGUGGGGGCUUUCGCUGCGGCAAUGGGAUGUGCUGAGCAAGAAUGGGAUGGCUGAAGCGCUCUGUGAAUAUAUUGAGAAAGAUCGGCCGUUUCUUGGCAUUUGUCUUGGACUUCAGCUCCUUUUUUAAUCCAAUGAGGAAAAGGGACAAGGCCGGUCAGUGCUUCAUGCCUCAACUUUUCAGUAAAUUUCUGUUUCUACUUUUUGUAACUAUAAGACUAAUGUGAAUACAAAUCCCUCUUGGACGUACUCUUUGAUGAUUAUACACAUUUGUACUUCUCGAUUUUUCUAUAUGUAAAGGUAUUAUAGAUUUUGCUGUUUAUGUUUCUGACCUUGUUUAAACUUGGACUGACAAAAUGCAUAGUAUCUCAGUGAGUGGUCUUGCCUUGAUACCUGGAGUUGUUGGGCGUUUUGACUCAACAAAUGGUGUCAGGGUUCCACAUAUCAGGUGGAAUGCUUUGCAGAUUAGAAAAGACUCUUUAAUUUUGGAUAAUGUUGGAACCCAUCACGUCUAUUUCGUUCACUCUUACAAAGCGAUGCCAGUAUGUCAUAAACAAUUUUCUUUUUUUGGGUACAAAAUGAAUAGUUCUUAGUAAUGCUUCUGCUGCAUAUUUGUACUAUACAUAACUUGAUUUAUUGGGGCUGACAUACUUCAAUACAAAUUUUCAGUCGGAUGAAAACAAAGAAUGGGUUUCAUCUACCUGCAACUAUGGUGACAAUUUUAUUGCGUCUGUUAGAAGGGGAAAUGUGCAUGCGGUUCAAUUCCACCCCGAAAAAAGUGGAGGCAAGUUAUCAUUUUCUCACUCUUGUUUGUUAAUGAUUGCUCAAGAUGUACCGGAAUUACAAUAAUUUUCCAUGUCUUGUUUCUUUCGUUACUAGGGAGCGUAUAAUAUCUAACAGGACUUUCGACGUUCAAGUUCCUUCUGGAAUUCUAAUUAUAUAUGUAUAUUGAAGAAGAAAACAAGAUCAAAUGUAAAACCCACUCAACUCUCUAGAUAAUGAAAGAAAUAGAUGUGAACUCUUAAAUUUUCAAAACUUGAUCGUAAAUCGUACAUUUUAGAAGUAAUUAUCUUUUACUUUUCCCCAUUCCAAGAUUCAAGAGGAUAACUUCUGUCUGAGGUCUAAGUCGUGAGAUUCUUUUCUGAUUCUGUUUGCUCUGUAAUUCUUGGCAAUCAAAAUUCAAAUGUAAAGAGCUCUUUAAACUACAGAACUACUGCAGUGUAAUUUUUGUAGAUGUUGGUCUUUCCCUAUUGAGAAGAUUGCUCUAUCCAGACUCACCCUUGGAGAAGAAGCCUAUGGAAGGGAAAGGUUCCAAACUUGCGAAGAGGGUUGUUGCUUGGCUGGAUGUGAGGACGAAUGACAAAGGAGAUCUUGUUGUAACCAAAGGAGACCAAUAUGAUGUAAGAGAGCAUACAAAAGAGAGUGAGAUAUUCCAAGAACUCUCGACUGCAUUCUUGUAUCAUUUGUGUGGUUCUUUGGACCUGACUAUUGGGUGCAAACUGUCACAAUUAAAGAAAUAUCAGAAACCCUCAGCCUUCGGUGCAUCAUAAUCUAGUUCUAUAACCCCACUCAUGGAUCUUACUGUUCAUUAUGUAUUUUCUUCAAACACAUCUAGCUAGAUUGAUAUCCUUUCUAUUGUUCAA